rfam:Triticum aestivum genome assembly, contig: Triticum_aestivum_CS42_TGACv1_scaffold_545426_6DS
CAAAUACUCCCUCCGUUCGGAAUUACUUGUCUCGGAAAUGGAUGUAUUUAGAACUAAAAUACAUCUAGAUACAUCCAUUUCUGGGACAAGGAAAUCCGAACGGAGGGAGUAGUAA